rnacentral:rRNA from 1 species
UAAAAACCCCGACUUCGGAAGGGGUGUAUUUAUUAGAUACAAAACCAAUGCCCUUCGGGGCUCUUUGGUGAUUCAUGAUAACUAUACGAAUCGCACGGCCUUGCGCCGGCGAUGGUUCAUUCAAAUUUCUUCCCUAUCAACUUUCGAUGUUUGGGUAUUGGCCAAACAUGGUUGCAACGGGUAACGGAGGGUUAGGGCUCGACCCCGGAGAAGGAGCCUGAGAAACGGCUACUAUAUCCAAGGAAGGCGGCAGGCGCGCAAAUUACCCAAUCCCGACUCGGGGAGGUAGUGACAAUAAAUACUGAUACAGGGCCCUUUCGGGCCUUGUAAUUGGAAUGAGUACAAUUUAAAUCCCUUAACGAGGAACAAUUGGAGGGCAAGUCUGGUGCCAGCAGCCGCGGUAAUUCCAGCUCCAAUAGCGUAUAUUAAGGUUGUUGUGGUUAAAAAGCUCGUAGUUGAACCUUGGGCCUGGCUGGCCGGUCCGCCUCACCGCGUGCACUGGUCCGGCCGGGCCUUUCCCUCUGUGGAACCCCAUACCCUUCACUGGGCGUGGCGGGGAAACAGGACAUUUACUUU